AUUGGUAGAGGAGCAUUGCAUGUGGGAAGAAGCAGUACCGUAAGGAGCUGUGGACUGCAUGGAAGAGAGAAUGCCGGAAUGAGUAGCGAGAACAAGGUGAGAAUCCUUGUGGCCGAAUAUCUAAGGUUUCCAGGGUAAAGCUGAUCUGCCCUGGGUAAGUCGGGGCCUAAGGCGAGGGCGAGAGCCGUAGCCGAUGGACAACAGGUUGAGAUUCCUGUACUGCGAUAUGACAGAACUGUGGGGACACGUGUGGAGAGCACAACCCGGGAAUGGUAUCCCGGGGCAAGCGAGGUAGGAGUCACAUAGGAAAAUCCGUGUGGCAAUCCGAAGACGUGAUGCGGACCGAACUAAAGUAGGGAAGUGUGUGAGCCAUGCGUCAAGAAAAGCCGCUAUUGUUCAUAUCGUACCCGUACCGUAAACCGACACAGGUGGAUGAGGAGAGAAUCCUAAGGCCGACGGAAGAAGCAUUGCCAAGGAACUCGGCAAAAUGACCCCGUAACUUCGGGAGAAGGGGUGCCAGGGAGACCUGGCCGCAGAGAAUAGGCUCAAGCAACUGUUUAGCAAAAACACAGGUCUAUGCGAAACCGAAAGGUGAGGUAUAUGGGCUGACGCCUGCCCGGUGCUGGAAGGUUAAGAGGAGAUGUCAGGAGACGAAGCAUUGAAUUUAAGCCCCAGUAAACGGCGGCCGUAACUAUAACGGUCCUAAGGUAGCGAAAUUCCUUGUCGGGUAAGUUCCGACCCGCACGAAAGGCGUAAUGAUUUGAGCGCUGUCUCGGCAAUGCAUCCGGUGAAAUUGAAGUACCAGUGAAGAUGCUGGUUACCUGCGCCAGGACGGAAAGACCCCAUGGAGCUUUACUCCAGUUUGGUACUGGGGUCCGGUAUUGCAUGUACAGGAUAGGUGGGAGGCUAAGAAGUGGUGACGCCAGUUGCCAUGGAGCCGCUGUUGGGAUACCACCCUUGCAGUAUUGGGCUUCUAACCAGCCGCCGUUAACCGGCGGUGGGACAAUGCCAGGCGGGGAGUUUGACUGGGGCGGUCGCCUCCGAAAGAGUAUCGGAGGCGCCCAAAGGUUCCCUCAGAAUGGUUGGAAACCAUUCGCAGAGUGCAAAGGCAGAAGGGAGCUUGACUGCGACACCGACGGGUGGAGCAGGUACGAAAGUAGGGCUUAGUGAUCCGGUGGUAUUAAGUGGGAAUGCCAUCGCUCAACGGAUAAAAGCUACCCUGGGGAUAACAGGCUUAUCACUCCCAAGAGUUCACAUCGACGGAGUGGUUUGGCACCUCGAUGUCGGCUCAUCGCAUCCUGGGGCUGUAGUAGGUCCCAAGGGUUGGGCUGUUCGCCCAUUAAAGCGGUACGCGAGCUGGGUUCAGAACGUCGUGAGACAGUUCGGUCCCUAUCCGGCGUGGGCGUAGGAUAUUUGAGAGGAGCUGUCCUUAGUACGAGAGGACCGGGAUGGACGGGCCGCUGGUGUACCUGUUGCAGUGCCAACUGCAUGGCAGGGUAGCCAAGCCUGGAAGGGAUAAACGCUGAAGGCAUCUAAGCGUGAAGCCCCCCUCAAGAUGAGAUAUCCCAUUCAUAAAGAAGUAAGACCCCUUGA
rnacentral:rRNA from 1 species